rnacentral:lncRNA from 1 species
GAGAGAGAGAGGGAGAGAGAGAGAGAGAGAGGAGGGGAGCUGCCGUUCGAACCAGCCAGCUGGCCGGAUGCCGCCUCCUUCGCCCGCUCGACGCCGCGGCUCGUUGCCGUCACCGCCGCGCACCGUUGCCGCUCCGCCUUGGCCGUCGCCCUCCGUCUUUCCCCUUUCUCUUCCGUCGGUUCUCUCUUCCAUGGCUGCUGUGCGAAGACCAGAAAAUGCAGCAGAAGAAAUCCGGUUGCA